CCUUUAACUUUAAAACUUUUAUUCACUAAAGACAGUCAUGUUCAUCGUAAUGCUCUCCCAAUAAUAUAAAGCUAAAACAUCUGAGUACCCAAACGAAGUCUGCCUUGGAGAAUAAGAUGCCCUUAACUUUAAUACGCAAUCUGGACAGUAGUUCUGAUGCAGCCACGGGGAGCUAGUCGAUUUGUGCAAAUCCAAACAAUCUGAGCCCGCCAGAACGGCAAGAAAACGAACAGAGAAAUGAAUGCAACAUUUGAACUCGUUUUCGGUUUGAGGAAUAGGCAGUUUAUAAAUUUCAAAUUGCAAUUUGGAAAUGCACAGAUGAUGAAGGACAGUGGUGUCAAGCAUCAACCAUGCGAGUGCGGGCCUGAAAGACUUCUUACAAAAGUCCGCUCAGAAUGGCAGUAAUCUUUCAAACAGCAGGCACAAUUGUGGAUUUCGUUCUGACCGUGGAAUGAAGAAAUCCUUGCGUGCAUCAUAUACCAAUUCAUUUUUGUUGAUUGUCAUUUUCCAGUGCGUCUCCCUUAUGGCAAACUCAGAAGAAGAUCGCGUUCUGCAAAUUCGUUUGUUUGCCAAUACUACGAGGACUGAGUUGUCUUUGAGAUUGCAAUGGACCGUUUCUUUUAAGCCUAGAAUCUGUGUGGAAUGUUUGCAUUAAAAUUGACCGACUUUCACAAUGUGAUGCCAAUAUAAAAGCAGUGCAAUAAAUGAUUUAAUGCGAAAUGGU